GAGCGUUUCCUCCGGGCGGUCCCCGCCCCCAGGCCCCUCAUCCUGGCGGCCUCGAGCCUGGGCUCACGUAGGCCCUUCGCUAGCAGCGGCCAGACUUCACCCCUGGGGCCUUGGGGACGGCGCUUUCGGGUGGAGGGAGGAGGGAGGCCCUCGGAAGGGGCUCUCAGGGGCCCAAGGGGAGCGCCUCGUGUAGUAGUCGCCCUGCUGGCGGGGUCCCUGGGUUCUAGCAGUGCCUGACACACAUCAGGUUCUUAGGAAAUACUGCUGAAAAGACAUGACAACCAGGCCUGGAGCUCUGUAUCUGAUGACCACUAGAGAGAGCUGAAAGGCAGGAAUCAAGGGCCUUUGAAGAACAGCCUCCUCAACCUCCUGGGGCCAGUGUCUUCAUCUAGCAAACAAGGGGUUUGGAUUGGACUGGAAGUUAAUUACCUGAGUUCAAGUCUUGUUCUGAUGAACUGUGUGAACCUGCAGCAGGCCCUUCGUUUCUCUAGGCCUCAAUUUCCCCACUUAAAUUCAAUGCAGAAUAUGGACAAGUGAGACUUUAAGUUUA